CUUCCCCUUCCCCUCACUCACCUCUUUCUAUUCCUCUCUAUACUUUAUUCCUGUUCUUCUCUUCUGGGGUAAGUUCCUCAGAAGUUAUGCACUAGAUUAUAAACAAAACCAACAUUGGCAUUUUCCAUACAGAAGAAGUUAUCACUUCUGUUUUCAGAACAGAUCUAUAUAGUCGCAGAAAUUGAUUUUUGGCGUCCCUUUCAGUUUUUGGAGCAAGGGUUGGCUUUAAAUUAAUGGAGAAUACUGUGAAACUCUGUUUCAUUGCUCCUCUGUUUCUGCUGCUUGGGAUUCUUCCCUUAGCAUUUGCGGGCCACGAUUAUAGCGAAGCUCUAAGCAAGAGCAUUCUCUUCUUUGAAGCUCAGAGAUCUGGUUACUUACCAAGAAACCAAAGGGUCCAAUGGAGGGGUAAUUCUGGUCUCAAUGAUGGCAAGCCCAGCGGGGUGGAUCUAACUGGAGGGUACUAUGAUGCUGGAGACAAUGUGAAAUUUGGGCUUCCCAUGGCAUUUACAGUGACUAUGAUGUCCUGGAGCAUUAUCGAGUAUGGGGGGCAAAUGGCUGCGAGCGGUGAGCUUAGCCAUGCCAUGGAUGCCAUUAAGUGGGGCACUGACUAUCUCAUCAAAGCUCAUCCCAACCCAAUGAUUAUUUUUUGGCAGGUUGGAGAUGGUAACACAGACCACUACUGCUGGCAAAGGCCGGAGGACAUGACCACGUCAAGGGCUGCUUACAGAAUUGACCCAAGCAAUCCCGGAUCUGACCUCGCUGCUGAAACUGCCGCCGCAAUGGCCGCUGCGUCGAUCGUUUUCCGCCGUUAUGAUAGUGCAUAUUCCAACGAGCUUCUCGACCAUGCUUAUCAGCUGUUCGAGUUUGCUGAUAAAUACAGGGGCAAAUAUGACAGCAGCAUCACAGUGGCCCAGAAGUACUACCGAUCUGUUAGUGGGUACGCGGACGAGCUCUUGUGGGCAGCAGCCUGGUUGUACAAGGCAACCAACAACCAGUUCUACUUAAAUUACCUAGGCAACAUGGGGAUGCUCUUGGUGGGACUGGUUGGGCCAUGACCGAAUUUGGGUGGGAUGUCAAGUAUGCUGGCGUCCAGACCCUUGUUGCCAAGUUCUUAAUGCAAGGGAAAGGUGGUCGUUAUACAGGGGAAUUUCAGCAAUACCAGCAAAAAGCCGAGGCUUUCAUGUGUUCGUGCAUGGGAAAGGGCAAUCAGAAUGUUCAGAGAACUCCAGGAGGCCUCAUUUUCCGCCAGAGGUGGAACAAUAUGCAGUUUGUCACAAGUGCCUCAUUCCUUCUCACUGUCUACUCGGAUUAUCUUGCUUCUGCUGGCAAGUCUCUCAAGUGUGCUUCUGGCUACGUAUCGCCAUCUGAAAUGCUCUCAUUUGCUAAAUCUCAGGUGGACUACAUUCUUGGAGACAACCCGAGAGCCACGAGCUACAUGGUUGGAUAUGGGAACAACUAUCCUAGACAAGUUCACCACAGAGGUUCAUCCAUUGUCUCCAUCAAGGUAGACCCCUCAUUUGUGAGUUGCAGAGGGGGUUAUGCCACUUGGUUUAGCAGGAAAGCAAGUGACCCCAAUGUCCUCACCGGUGCUAUUGUUGGAGGGCCAGAUGCAUACGACAAUUUUGCUGAUCAGAGGGAUAACUAUGAGCAAACUGAGCCUGCUACCUACAACAAUGCUCCCAUUCUCGGUGUCUUGGCUAGACUACAUGGUGGCCAAGGCGUUUAUAACCAGCUUCUUCCAGUGGCUCAGCCUAAACCAGUCCCACACCCGAAAUUAACUCCAACUCCAGCUUCAUCCUCCAAUCCAAUUACUGUUGAGCAGAGGAUGACAGAUUCAUGGCUUAACCAUGGAAGAACUUACCAUAGAUACUCUACAAUAGUGACUAACAAAUCUGACAAGACAGUGAAGAAUUUGAAGAUUUCAAUAUCUAAGCUCUACGGCCCUCUGUGGGGUCUCACAAAGUUUGGUGAUUCUUACACAUUUCCAGCAUGGACCAACUCUUUGCCCGCAGGAAAAAGCAUCGAGUUUGUGUACAUCCAUUCUGCUUCUCCUGCAAAUGUAUUGGUGUCGUCCUACACAUUUGCUUGAGACAAGAAGAAAACGCAUUCUCAGCCGAGGUUUAUGAGUUUUAUCGAAGUUACAUAAGAAUUGUGCACAUAUAGAAGGAGCAGCCCAGAAGGCCUACCUAAAACUUCAAUUACUCGUUGAUUUGCAAUCUGAGCAGUGUUUUAGUUGCAGUUAGGUAAAAUAAGGGCGAAGCAUGGAGGAAGAAAGGAGUGAAGAGACGAUUUAAAAGUGCUCAUCCUCUUUCUUCUCCACUUCAUUUAUGAGUUUGCAUAGAAGAAUUGAGAGACAGUCAAAAAGAGUGAGAUUUUGAGAAGUGAAGAAAGGUUUCACAUCUCAAUAGGGUUUUUAAUGUUUUUCUUCUACAGCAAAGCUUUGAGGGCUUUUUCUUUCAACUUUUUCAACUCGUUGUGUGGUGAUAUUGUAAGGUUUACAGCUUUUCUUGAUCUCAACAUGAAUAUAGUUGGUGCAAAUUUGUGAUCAACAAGCUUCUCUGUCUA